ACGGAGGGUGCAAGCGUUAAUCGGAAUUACUGGGCGUAAAGCGCACGCAGGCGGUUUGUUAAGUCAGAUGUGAAAUCCCCGGGCUCAACCUGGGAACUGCAUCUGAUACUGGCAAGCUUGAGUCUCGUAGAGGGGGGUAGAAUUCCAGGUGUAGCGGCGAAAGGCGUAGAGACCUGGAGGAAGACCGGAGGCGAAGGCGGCCACAUAGACGAAGACUGACGAGUAGGUGCGAAAGCGUGGGGAGCAAACAG
rnacentral:rRNA from 1 species